CGCGUAGGUGGUAGUGUAAGUCUGGGGUGGAAUGCCGGGGCUUAACCCUGGAAUUGCCUUGGAAACUGCAUUACUUGAGUCAGUGAGGGGAGGGUAGAAUUCCUGGUGUAGCGGUGAAAUGCGUAGAUAUCAGGAGGAAGGCCUGUGGCGAAGGCGGCCCUCUGGUGCUGGACUGACACUGAGGCGCGAAAGCGUGGGGAGCAAACAGGAUUAGAUACCCUGGUAGUCCACGCCCUAAACGGUGGGCACUAGGUGUAGGGCUCGUAAGGGUUCUGUGCCGAAGGGAAACCAUUAAGUGCCCCGCCUGGGGAGUACGGCCGCAGGGUUGAA
rnacentral:rRNA from 1 species